rnacentral:rRNA from 1 species
UAUAAGUCACGAAUCAUGAUCUAUCUCUAUAGUCUCUAGAAUAUAUAUUUACCGUAGUAUAGUUAAAUUAAUAAUAGAAAUUAGGGGUGAAAGGCUUUUCAAAUUUGAAGAUAUCUUGAUAUUAAGGAAAUAUAUUUAGUAUAACUACCACUCUAAAAAUGGUAAGGUUUUUAGAUAGUAUAAUUUUUGGUAUAAAAUAAGGUGGCCUUUAUAGUAGAUACUAAAAUUCGGAACUAAACAUUAUUUACUUUAUAUUAUAUAUUUUUUACUUAAUCUUAUACAUUAAUUCAUAUUUUAUAUUAAUAAUGAUUAUAUUAGUAUUUACUUAAUUUUUAAUUAGGAACUCGGCAACAAUUAAUCUCGACUGUUUAUCAAAAACAUAGUUCUUUGAUAUUAUUAAGAAUUAAACCUGCUCAAUGAAAUUUAAAUAGCCGCAGUACCUUGACUGUGCAAAGGUAGCAUAAUCAAUUGGCUUAUAAUUGAAGUCUGGAAUGAAAGGGAAAUUGGGGUUAGACUGUCUUAUGAAUAAUACCUAGAAUUUACUAAAUAGGUGAAAAUUCCUAUACGUGGAAAAAAGACGAGAAGACCCUAGAAAUUUUAAUAAUAAAUCACUUUAUUUUUGUUGGGGCGACAGGGUAACAGAAAACUUACCCGACUAUAUAGGCAGUUUAUAAACUGUGCAAUCAAAUUACUCUAGGGAUAACAGCAUAAUAUUUUAAAGAUUGUGACCUCGAUGUUGGACUAGGGAGUAUAAUACUUAAAAGGUAUUAUAAUUGGCUCUGUUCGAGCUUUAAAUCCUACAUGAUCUGAGUUCAGACCGGCGUAGCAG